UGAGUACGAGAUGCUACGGCAUCGAAGCAGUCUAUGUCAUACUUCCAAGAAAAGCUUGCAAUGUCAUAAACAAAUAAUGCCUGUACCAUAACCGACACAGGUGGGUAGGUAGAGUAUACUAAGGGGCGCGAGAUAACUCUCUCUAAGGAACUCGGCAAAAUGACUCCGUAACUUCGGGAGAAGGAGUGCCUUAUUUUUAUAAGGUUGCAAUAACAAGAUCCAAGCAACUGUUUACCAAAAACACAGGUCUCCGCUAAGUCGUAAGACGAUGUAUGGGGGCUGACGCCUGCCCAGUGCCAGAAGGUUAAAGAAGUUGGUUAGCAUUAGCGAAGCUGAUAACUGAAGCCCUGGUGAACGGCGGCCGUAACGAUAACGGUCCUAAGGUAGCGAAAUUCCUUGUCGGGUAAGUUCCGACCCGCACGAAAGGCGUAAUGAUUUGGAUACUGUCUCGGAGAGGGGCUCGGUGAAAUAGACUUGUCUGUGAAGAUGCGGACUACCUGCACCAGGACAGAAAGACCCUAUGAAGCUUUACUGUAACUUGAGAUUGAAAUUGGACUUUAUCUGCGCAGUAUAGGUGGGAGACGUUGAAAAUAUUCUUGCGGGAAUAUUGGAGUCAUCAGUGAGAUACCACUCUUAUAAUGUUAGAUUUCUAACUUUGUAUCAUUAUCUGGUCAAAGAACAGUUUCAGGCGGGCAGUUUGACUGGGGCGGUCGCCUCCCAAACGGUAACGGAGGCGCACAAAGGUUUCCUCUGAACGUGUAGAAAUCGUAUCUAGAGUGUAAAGGCAUAAGGAAGCUUGACUGUGAGACCUACAAGUCGAGCAGGGACGAAAGUCGGUCUUAGUGAUCUGACGGUGCUGAGUGGAAAGGCCGUCACUCAACGGAUAAAAGUUACUCUAGGAUAACAGGCUGAUCUCCCCCAAGAGUUCACAUCGACGGGGAGGUUUGGCACCUCGAUGUCGGCUCAUCGCAUCCUGGGGCGGUAGUACGUCCCAAGGGUUGGGCUGUUCGCCCAUGAAAGCGGUACGCGAGCUGGGUUCAGAACGUCGUGAGACAGUUCGGUCCAUAUCCGGUGUAGGCGUUAGAAUAUUGAGAGGAGCCUUCUUUAGUACGAGAGGACCGAGAAGGACAUACCUCUGGUGUACCAGUUAUCGUGCCAACGGUAAACGCUGGGUAGCCAUGUAUGGAGAGGAUAACCGCUGAAAGCAUCCAAGUGGGAAGCCCACCUCAAGAUAAG
rnacentral:rRNA from 1 species